AUAGCGUAUAUUAAAGUUGUUGCAGUUAAAAAGCUCGUAGUUGAAUUUUGGGCUUGGUAGGCCGGUCUGCCUUCUGGCAUGUACUGGUUUAGCUGGGUCUUUCCUUCUGGCUACCCGCAUGCCCUUCAUUGGGUGUGUUGGGGAACCAGGACUUUUACUUUGAAAAAAUUAGAGUGUUCAAAGCAGGCAUUAGCUCGAAUACAUUAGCAUGGAAUAAUAGAAUAGGACGUGUGGUUCUAUUUUGUUGGUUUCUAGGACCAUCGUAAUGAUUAAUAGGGAUAGUCGGGGGCAUCAGUAUUCAAUCGUCAGAGGUGAAAUUCUUGGAUCGAUUGAAGACUAACUACUG
rnacentral:rRNA from 1 species